CACUCCACACCCUAAACCCGUUCUCUCAUGUUCCUCCCUCUCUCUCUGUUCCCCAAUCCCCUCUCUCUCUCAGUUCCCUCCGUCAGCACUCUCCUUCUCCCUCUUCCUCUCUCGAGCUCCCUCGCCCUCGGCGUCUCCCUCUCCCUCUCUCAAGCUCCCGCGCCCUCACACCUCCUUCAACAGCACCGGCUCUUCAGCAGCGCUGCCUCCACCGGCUCUCCCUCUCCCUCUCUCGAGCUACUAGUUUUCGGGUUGCUGGGUUUAUGCUCUGACCAUAUCCAUUUUCUUGUUUGGAAGUUGGGAUUCACGAUUCCACCUGGGUUUUGUUAUUGGGGUCAUCACAUGGAUCUGUUAUUGCAUUCAUUUCUUUUAUUAUCUGUUUGUUGAAAUGGCUGGAUUAGAUGGCAUGCUAUGUGUUUGAUGAAAUGGCUAGAUUUCAUGCAUGCUAUUUGUUUGAUGAAAUGGCAUGCUAUCUGCCCCUGCUGAUUUUUCAGGCUGCUAGAUUUUGGUAGAGCACAUCAGGGAAGUUCUUCCAGGAUUCAAAGCCCGCAGACAAAUUCUGUCAAUAGUGUUGUGAAUAUGAGAUUUGCAAUUCAUUUUUAUUGUCAUUUUCAGGUAUUGAUUGGCAGACUUGUUAUUACACAGGAAUGUUAGUUUUUUAUAUGUGAAUUGAUGGAGACAUUUGUCAUUUGGGUAGCUUUGAUUGGCAGACUUUUAAAUAUGAUAUUUGCAAUUCAGUUUCAAUUGUCAGUUACAGGAAUUGAUUGGC